ACUGUCCCAAAAAUCUCAGUCUCUAAAGUCUUUAACAAGAUAAGGAGAUUACACCUAUUCUCGAUCAACACCGGUGCUCUGUUACAGGUCAGAUGUUUGCUCAAGUGUAGAUCUAUUGUAUUCGGUCUAGUCUGCUAGCUCUUCCACCAAUGAAGAGCAAGACUGUGAACCAUAGCAAUCGUCAUCCUGAGAUGAGUCCAACCUAAAGAUUUUGAUUGAAGAUGGACAUCCACAAUGUUCUUUCCUCAAAUGUCACAGUCUACCGAUUGUCGAAUGGAGGAGAAACUGCUAUUGGUGUCUAUUUGGUGAUACUAGGAUGGCUUUCUUGGAUUGGAAAUGGGGUUGUAAUAUUGCUUUUAACAAAGCAAAGAAAGUGUCUGGAACCACAGGAUUUCUUGACCCUCAACCUUGCCGUUUCUGACGCCAGCAUUGCUAUUUUUGGGUAUUCUCGAGGAAUCCUUGAAGUUUUUGAUGUUCUCAGGGAUCAAGGCUAUCUAAUAAAGACAUUUUGGACUUGCAAGGUGGACGGAUUCCUAAUCCUGCUUUUCGGACUCAUCAGCAUCAACACACUGACAGGCAUCAGUGUCAUCCGCUACAUCAAAGGUUGCCAGCCUCAGCAUGCUCAUCACGUCAGCAAGCGAAAUAUCUGCUUGGUCAUAGCUGCUAUCUGGCUGUGCUCUCUGUUCUGGGCUGGAGCUCCGCUGCUGGGCUGGGGCAGUUACAGAGCUCGCGGGUAUGGAACGUGUGAAAUCGACUGGAUGCAAGCGCUGUACUCUGUUCCGGUCAAGCUCUAUGUCAUCAGCAUUUUCCUCUUCAACUUCUUUUUGCCACUAUUUGUUAUAGUUUUUACAUAUGUGUCCAUCAUCCAAACUGUCAACUCCAGCCACAAGUCCAGUCGUGGAGGAGAUAUCAGCGAGAGGCAGAGAAAGAUUGAACGCAGCAUCACAAGGGUCUCCCUCAUUCUGUGUGCGGCCUUCUUGUUGGCCUGGUCCCCGUAUGCAGUCAUUUCCAUGUGGUCUGCCUGGGGUUACCAAAUACCCCCACUCAACAGCAUCCUGGCUAGCCUCUUCGCCAAGUCAGCGAGUUUCUACAAUCCGUUUAUCUACAUUGGCAUGAGCUCUAAGUUCCGGAAGGACCUGCAGGCUCUUUUCUACUGCCUCAGACCCACAUCAGCACAGAGGCACACCCCUCCUGUGCCAUUGGCCUGGCCUGGUGAUGUGCAGCUCGACGUCGAUGGAUUUAAGGAGAAUGAACCGGUGGACCCAAAUGCAAGUGAAAACAUACAGGAGGGAAAGGCAGAGAGCCGUCCUGAAUCAGAACGCCAGGACAGGCCCUUACCAAAGUCAGCAAUUAAACUUGAAUCAGCAAAGCUCCAGCAGAAAUCAUGGAGCAGGAGGAUUUACAAACUGAUCCUGGUGACUGCCAAGCGCAUAAUUCAAAAGCAGCAGGCGUGCUCGUAGUCAGAGGAACAGUGAAGGUUUGAGUCCAAACAGAGCAGCAGGAACAGUCAAACAAUCCAGAGUCCUAAUUCCAAGAACAGACAAGGAAAAAGAGCAGACAAAAGUGUUUUGUGUCCAGUUUAUAUGGGAAACUCUGUACCAGAGAGUUGAAACAAGUGGCAAGUUGGAUAUGAGUUGGGAUUUUUCUUGAAAGAAAUGACUAACACGUCAGUGACCUGAUCUUACGGUUGUGGGAAAUGUCCUCCUCCUGCCCCAUUCACAGCACUCAAACGCAUUCUAGUCAAGCAUGUCCCCUCUUCAAAUGACAUCCAAGAGAAUUAGUCCCACAUGGUGGUCACAAAAUAAAAGGGUCAUGGUGUGUGUGGUGUUGUGGUGAAUGUUCUCUCAAAUUAGCGGUGUCGGGGGUUAAAGUAGGUCUGUUAUGCAAGGAGAUUUUUUUGGCGCAGACCCCAUAUGCUUAUUUUGGUGCAAGAAUAUACUCGGUUUGAGAAAUAAUGAAUUUUGGAAAAUAUUAAUCAGUGUGAUGU